rnacentral:tRNA from 1 species
GCGAAGGUGGCGGAAUUGGUAGACGCGCUAGCUUCAGGUGUUAGUGUCCUACGGACGUGGGGUUCAAGUCCCCCUCGCACCA